rnacentral:lncRNA from 1 species
AUGGAAGAAUUGAAGUCUCCAGAAAAUCCAUCAAAGAUGCUCUUCCCCUAUAAAGUGCUCAAAGCUCUGGAUCCGGAAAUCUAUCGUAAUGUAGAAUUUGAUGUUUGGUUGGACAGCAGAAAAGAACUUCAAAAAUCUGAUUACAUGGAGUAUGCUGGAAGACAGUAUUAUUUAGGAGACAAAUGUCAGGUUCGCUUGGAAUCAGAUGGAAAGUAUUAUAAUGCUCAUAUUCAAGAAGUUGGAAAUGAGAACCAUUCAGUAACUGUUUUCAUUGAAGAACUGGCAGAAAAGCAUGUUGUUCCGCUGGCUAAUUUAAAAGCAGUUACCCAAGUGACACCUGUUCCUACCUGGAAUGCUAUGCCCAGUCGGAAAGGAAGAGGCUACCAGAAAAUGUCUACAGGCUAUGUCCCAGAAAUGGCUAUGCCAGAGAUGGACAUAAAGCAGCGCAAGAAGAUGUUUAAGAAAGUUCGAGGAAAAGAGGUUUAUAUGACAGUGGCUUACAACAGGGGAGAUUCCCUCCCUCCGCCCAGACUUCAACACAGCAUGCAUUAUGAGCAUGACCCUCCACUGCACUACUCACAAACAGGUGCCAAUGUUAUGUGCAAUGAACAGUUUCAUCAUCAACAUUCAUCUCACAGACAAGGUCGAGGAUAUGGGAUACCCAGGGAUUCAUCUCGUUUUAUAAAUAGGCACAGCAUGCCAAGCCCUAAAGUUGGUUUUUACUCUGAGCCAGGUAAAAGGUGCUGCCAGAGCUUUGAUAACUUCUCCUAUAGAUCUCGUUCCUUUAGACGUAGUCACCGCCAGAUGCAUUGCAUGAAUAAGGAGUGUCAUUUUGGCUUUGCCCCGGAGAAUGGACAGGUACCCAGUGGCUUGGAAGAAACUGUUACUUUUUAUGAAGUUGAAGAAGGAGAUACGACUGCUUAUCCAACUUUACCUAACCAUGGUAAUCCCUCUAUGAUGGUUCCUGCUACUUCAGGAUACUGUGUUGGAAGGCGAGGACAUAGCUCAGGAAAACAGACUUCAAAUUCAGAAGAGGGCAAUGGCCAGAGUGACAAUGGUGAGUCAAUUAGUGUUAAAUAUUUUGAAAAAGAUGAUUUUCAUGGCAUUAGUAUAUUAAGGCUAUAAAGUAAACCAACGUUUGGUUUGGGGAGUGUCUCCAUUUUGUUUUGAAAAAGAGUUAUAAGUCCUUGUCUCAGCUUGCUGGGUUUUUGAAGAUGUCCUAGUAUUUCUCAGAAGAACAGACUUGUAUUUCUGUCAGUGUAGUGGUCUACUUGUAGUAGUAGACCACUACAGUGUUACAAUGUAUUUUCAGCUCUCUGCAUAGGUUGCUAGUGAGUUUUGAUUUGAUGAAAUAUCAGUAUGGAAAACAUCGGUUCAUUAUUAGUAAGGUGCUUGUCAUAGUUGUCUUCCCCAUUUGUAUACUUUAGGCUUUUCAUGUGAUUAGCUCUUGUUUUACAAGACUGCUAUACAUUUUUCACCCAAAGUCAUCUACUAGAUCUAUAAACAUUACUGUUUAUUGAAUCCUAUGUGCCAUCUAUUCUAGUAAUUUAAUGUGGUCCUUACUGAGAGAUGUACUAUUUUAUGUAGGGGAGAAAUUGAGAUUCAAAGGUAAAUUGUAUAUUGCUAAGGUCAUAUGUAUGGUGAAUAGCAGAGGUAUCAUUUUUUGUAAUAACAUAAAAUUUAUAUGCAAUUUACCCAUUUAAAAUGUACAAUCCAGUGGUUUUUAGUAUAUUCAGACUUACAUAACUAUCAUUAGCUUUAAUAUGAAGGCAUUUUUUUUAUCAUCCCCAAGAGAAACCCCAUACCUGUUAGCAUCUAUUCAUUUACCUCCAACUCCCUACCCCCAGCCUUUACCAAUUACCAGUCUCUUUUUUUGUCACUAUGGAUUUACCUAUUCUGGACAUUUUGUAUAAAUGGAGGCAUAUAGUAUGUGGUCUUUUUGUGACUGGCAGAGAUGAAAUUUGAACUUGAGUUUGUAUCUAAAACUGUACUUAUAUAUCCUAAACAGUUUUGUUACCUCUGACCAUAGAGUGUGUUUAUUUUUACCACUCAGUGUUGUAUUAUACAUGCCUACUGAAACAAUUCUGGAUGAUGGAGUGGUUUAAUGAGGUAUAAGGCAUUCUGUAUGACUUGGCUUUAUUAAAAAUUGUCCUAUUUUCAUUAUCUUUCUGCUACUUAUACAGAAGAAAAUGUAUUAGAUCUUUGUAGGAAUUUAAUGAGGGCAAAAAUGUAGUACAUGAAUGAUAUGGGAAAACUUUGCAUGCAUGUGCAUAUACACAUAUGCUCGAGGGAGCUCACUCUCUGCUCUUUUAUUCAGAUACUCCUCGUCUUUUCCUUUUGGCCCCUGUACAUAGCUUCAGAUAUAUUGCUCACCUGUGGUGGCAUAUUUGAAGCAACCAAAUCUUUGUUCUCACCUUUAAUCCUGCUGCCAUCUGGAGGAGUUUCAUGCCUUUGUAUUGAUAAGUGAUAUAUUUAAGAAUCAAUCCAGUUUAGAUCUGUAGGGUUUUAUUUAGUGAAAAACUGUCCAACUAAUGAUUGACUUUAUCUGCAUUUCAUUGGUAUAAUGAUCUUUAAUCAAAGUACUUCAUUCUACUGAGCCAUGCUUUGAGGAGAAAUUGACUUUACAUGUACAGUACUACAUGUAACAGGCUGAAAAACAGAUGCAGCAUGAGAUAUCCCUUCAUUGUCUCCCUAAAUUCAUUACUUUAGAGUCACUCUUUGAAUGUUUGCUAUAUGCCAAGUACUGUCCUUAGUUAUUUUUAUUUCUGUUAAGCCUCUUCAAAAUCUUUGUGAGCUAGGUACUGUUAUCCCUACUUUCUAGUAAAAAAUUAAGGCAGAUUUAUUUACCUAAAGUCAUAUAGCCAAUCAGAUUUCAUAUCUAGCUAAUCCUAGGUCCAGAGCCUAUGUGCUUAAUUGCCACACUGUACCAUCCAUUUCCCUGGAAAAAAUUGGAAAAAUUGAAAAACUGCUGAGUUUUUCACCUCUGCCUUUACUUUUGAUUGAUACAGUUAAAGGCAUUCUGAGGAAAAAUGUGUACUGUACACAGCUAACCUCUGAUUUCAAUAUGUGCUAAUUCGAAAAUUCAAAUUACUUUGAAGGAUAUAUGCAUUUUAUUUCAAAAUUUAUUUUUGGAUGUAUGCAUUUUAGCUUUUAAAGUAUAUCCAUAAAAUUUGAGAAAAAGGAAGUGCUAGCCAUUUGGCUCCACUGAGCUAAAGUGACCUGUGUAAACACUUCUGUCUUGUCUUUUUUUUCUAGGGAGAUAUGAAGAAUAUCUUUAUCCUUCAGGUCAGUGGGGGAUGUAGAUGUAAUCUGACAUUUGUCAUUGUUUAUGGAAUGUCAGGCUAUAAAAUAAUGCUCAUUUUUUAACUUAACUUUGGCUAUUUCCUUUAGAGCCAGACUAUGAAACUUCAGGUGUAUAUAGCACAACUGCAUCUACAGCAAACUUGGUAGGUAUUUAAUAAUAGCAAACACUAGUAGCUCCUGUUAUAUUCUGGGGCUCUGUUCUAAAAGCUAUACAUAUAAAUGUGUUUAAAUCAAAACAGUCC